UAACGAAGGUCGCGAACCCGCGAGGGGGAGCCAAUCCCAAAAAGCCGCUCUCAGUUCGGAUUGCAGGCUGCAACUCGCCUGCAUGAAGCCGGAAUCGCUAGUAAUCGCGGAUCAGCAUGCCGCGGUGAAUACGUUCCCGGGCCUU
rnacentral:rRNA from 1 species